UUUGGUUCCUGCCCGCUGGAGCUCUCCACCAUGCCCGGGGGCGUACCCUGGUCCGCCUACUUGAAAAUGCUUUCCUCCAGCCUCCUGGCCAUGUGAGCCGGGGCCCAGGUGGUGCAUUGGUACUAUCGGCCUGACCUGACAAUACCUGAAAUCCCACCAAAGCCUGGAGAACUCUAAAUGGAGCUUUUGGGACUGAAAGAGAGACGCCACGAACCUCAUGUUUCACAGCAGUAGAAACUUAAAAAUAACAGCUGUGCCAAGAAUUCUGUGAAUAAUGUCUUAAAUAUGUAUUUUAAACUUUAUUAAGUAAAACUACUUCUUAAAACACUUAAUUUAGGGGGCUCAAUGGCUCAGAGGUUAAGAGCACUGUCUGCUCUUACAGAGGUUCUGAGUUCAAUUCCCAGCAACCACUUGGUGGUUCAUAACCAUCUAUGAGUUGUACCCUGUUCUGGCCUGCAAGCAGAAUGCUGUAUACAUAACAAAUCUUAAUAUUUUUUUAAAGAUAGUCUUACUAUACAUUCUAGGCUCACCUAGAACUUGCUAUGUAGAUCAGGCUGGCCUCUAGUUCACAGGAUCUAUAGGUCUCUACAAAAAGGUCUUGCUGUGUGUGUAGCCCAUGCUGACAUCAAACUAAGAGUCCUUCUGCUUCCACUUCCCAAACAGUGAGAUUACAGGUGUAAAGGACCAUGCCUGGUCCAGUGUCUCUUAAGAACCGCCUAAGAGCAUCUCUAGCGUUUGACUAGGUAGGUGACUUUCAAUAUCACAGGAGACCAUUUGCAGUGGCUCCCUCAAUUAUGAUUCUUCUCUGAACUUGAUUAUAAUGGCAAGUUGUAAAUUACAUAAAAUAAAAUAAAAUCAUUGGGGGUAGGGGCCUGGAGAGAUUGCUCAGCAGUUAGGAACACUGACUGCUCAGCAACCACAUGGAGGCUCACAACCAUCUCUAAUGAGAUCUGAUGCCCUCUUCUG
rnacentral:lncRNA from 1 species